CCUACGGGUGGCAGCAGUGGGGAAUAUUGGACAAUGGGGGGAACCCUGAUCCAGCCAUGCCGCGUGUGUGAAGAAGGCCCUCGGGUUGUAAAGCACUUUCAGUGAGGAAGAACGCCUGGUGGUUAAUACCCAUCAGGAAAGACAUCACUCACAGAAGAAGCACCGGCUAACUCCGUGCCAGCAGCCGCGGUAAUACGGAGGGUGCGAGCGUUAAUCGGAAUUACUGGGCGUAAAGCGCGCGUAGGUGGCUUGAUAAGCCGGUUGUGAAAGCCCCGGGCUCAACCUGGGAACGGCAUCCGGAACUGUCAAGCUAGAGUGCAGGAGAGGAAGGUAGAAUUCCCGGUGUAGCGGUGAAAUGCGUAGAGAUCGGGAGGAAUACAGUGGCGAAGGCGGCCUUCUGGACUGACACUGACACUGAGGUGCGAAAGCGUGGGUAGCAAACAGGAUUAGAUACCCUUGUAGUC
rnacentral:rRNA from 1 species